AUCAGUACCUGUUUUUUGACAGUUGAUUUAUUUAGAUGCGGUACAUUUCUCAGUUUGGUUUUUGUGCAUUCGACCUAACUGAGAUGUACUCGAUGGAAAUCGAAGAUUAAAAUCUGAUAUCGUUGCAUCUCUAUUAUUCGGAAUUUCUUACGAAAAAAACCCUUAAAAAAUAUUUGAAUGUUGAUAUUCUGAAUUACAAUUGUAUACAUUUGGGAUCAUAAAAUUUAUCACUCUAGUUUGACUUUGAAUAAACCAGAAGUACAUAAUCUGUUCUCUUUUAAUAUUCAGUUAUCUUUUAGUAAUUUCGUCGGCAGCAUUAAUUUAAUUUUUCUCAUGAAUAAUUAAUAAACUGAAAAUUAAAACAGUGAGAAAUUCAGAAUAUUAUAUACAUUUAUUUAAUCACAUUAAAACUUGUACAAUUAAAUAUUAUAAUGCGAACCAAAACUGAUGUUUUCAUUUUUACAUCGUUACACACAAAAUUAAUAAUCUUAAAUAUCAGGAUAUCCUCAUUAAAAAAUAUGAAUCUUAACUCUCAGGAUAUCCUUGUUAUCCGUGAUAUCAGGAUAUUAAAUAUCAAUGUUAUACACACAUCUAUCAUAAAUUUAAAAAAAAAUUACUGGCGUGAGAAUAGUGAUAUCAAUAUAAAAUACUAAGUUAGGUUAAUUAAUCCAUGUCUAAUGAUAUAAAUCAAAACAACUACUCAAAAGAUAAAAAAAUAAAUAAACAAGAGAAUUUAUCACUACGUACAGUAUAUACAGGUUUUUGUACUGUUAAAAUGCCAGUUAUCUGAUUAGAAUCAUUGAAUCUAAACUUAUUCAAUCAUUAAUUUAAAAUUAAUCUGCGAAGGCAACAUAUUUAACAGUGAAUAAAAACUAUACAAUAAAUAGAAAAAUAAAAAUAAGUAUAGUUGCAUAAUGAUAUACUUUACAAAAUCGAAGAAAAAGUUUCUUGGGAAUUAAACAAAUAUAAUAUAUAAUCAUGGCUUAAAAUCAGUUUCAUUGUAGACUAUCAAUAAUAGAGAUAAUAAAAAAAUAUUUAUUCAAAUAAUUCAGUAAAUAAUUAGACUGGCUAUUGUUAGAUUAAUAAUAAUAAAGAGGAAAUUUGUUAUAUCUACUAGACAAGAAAGUUAUUUGAUUCUGUUAAAGCAAACUACCUCAAUGUGUUUCGAAAACUGCGAUGAAGUUUAAGAAGUUAAAUUUAAUUAUAUAUAUCAUUUAUAACAUAUCACGUAGACUUAAUUUAUUUUUGAAGAUCAGCGGUUUUUAGAAGAAAAAACUUGUCGCCUUCGAUUCGUGAUUGUAGAUUAAUUUAAUGGCAUCAGCGCAUUUUGGUUGUUUUAAAUUUUGAAAAAUAUCAGAUUAAAAUUAAAUAGUGGCAUAUAUAUAAAAAAGAUGGCUAACACAAAUUUCAAAACUUUCCGAAGAAAAAAUUCCGGAGUUAUGAAUAGAAGACAAAUAAUUCUAAUGAUACAGUUUGAAAACAAUCGAUAAAAAUCUAUAGAACAAUGUUAAAAUUUGGGGGAAUUUUUAUGCAAUUCUAGACAAGGCCGCAUUUUUACAUUUUUUCACAGAUGUAAAAAUUUAUAUCCAAACAAAUGGGGAAAAAUUAUAAUAGGAUAUAAAUUUCAUAAUAAUAAAAUUGAAUAUUCUGGAUAACUUGAAAAUGCAGUACAAAUGUUUAAACAGAAUCAAAUUUAUUGUAGUUUAAUUCUUUAUGAUUAAUUAUCAAAAUUUAUCUAAAUAUUUGAUACAAGAGUUCCUAUGCUUAUCUCAUAAUUUGUCAUAUCAACAAAGGAAUUAUAAAAAUAUUAUCAUCUAAAAUUAUGUAUGCAAUUUUGGAUUAUACGUUAAAUUCGCACAAUAAAAUUUAGUAGCUAGAGUUUCAAUUUUAAUAGAUUAAUUUCAUUCAAGAAAUUAAUGCGAAAAUCCAUACCCAGUUGCAGAUGUGUGAUUGUAUCGGAUUCUUGGCCAAGAGUCAGAUAAAAUCACACAUCUGCAGCAGGAAAAUUCAUUGAGUAGAAUUUUUAUUCGAUCUAAAAGAAAUCAAAGGUUGGCAUUCAAUUCCGGAUUUUUCAAAAAAAUUUCGAAACUAUGCCGACUUACGAUAUCCAGAAGAUAAUUGUCUUAUCGAAACAAGUUCCUAUAAAGCCAUAAUUACUGGAACGUAACGUGUAUUAUAAAUGAUCGAAUAUUCUAAUAAAGUAUGCAAGUAGUAAGAUGGGAGGGUAGCCGUUCGCGUAUGGCCGCGGAAGUGACGUCACACUGUUUCCGGUGGCCGUAUGGCCGUGCUGACUUGUGAGUCAUGAUGUGUCGUGUAUAGGAGUGAACAAAGGGGCAUGGAUGAGUCAGCGUUUUCUGGUUGGCCGUAUAGAAGUGUCAUGGCGGCGAUGACAUCACGGAGGUUAGCAGGGAAGUAGGCGUGAUGAAUAGAGUUGGGUUAUGAUAUUUUCG
rnacentral:lncRNA from 1 species